rnacentral:tRNA from 1 species
AGGUCAGUAGCUCAAUGGUAGAGCACCGGUCUCCAAAACCGGGGGUUGGGGGUUCGAGUCCCUUCUGACCUG